rnacentral:rRNA from 1 species
GUAGGUGGCAAGCGUUGUCCGGAAUUAUUGUGCGUAAAGCGCGCGCAGGGCGGUCCUUUAAGUCUGAUGUGAAAGCCCACGGCUCAACCGUGGAGGGUCAUUGGAAACUGGGGGACUUGAGUACAGAAGAGGAAAGCGGAAUUCCAAGUGUAGCGGUGAAAUGCGUAGAGAUUUGGAGGAACACCAGUGGCGAAGGCGGCUUUCUGGUCUGUAACUGACGCUGAAGCGCGAAAGCGUGGGGAGCAAACAGGAUUAGAUACCCUGGUAGUCCACGCCGUAAACGAUGAGUGCUAAGUGUUAGGGGGUUUCCGCCCCUUAGUGCUGCAGCUAACGCAUUAAGCACUCCGCCUGGGGAGUACGGCCGCAAAGGCUG